CUUCUGAGGCCUCCACUAGAGGAGUGGGCUAAGCAACAGCAGCGUAGGUAGAGGUGGUGAUCUGAUGAUCGCCAAAUAGCAGCAGCCAGUAACAGCUAGUGUUGUGUCCCACAUGCAUGUGUUAUGAUGUUCAUCAGCUAAGUUUGCCUGUAGCUAGUUUGUUCCUCUCUCUUCCCUGUAGUUUGGUUCCGCCCAGGUAGCCACCCCUCCCAUAGUCAGUAUUCCUGCAGACAAGUAUUUGUAAGCAUGCACUGCAUCUAUCUCUCUGUACCUGGUAAAGCUACUUCGUUUUGACCUAUGGAAUUUGUCACUAAGAUUUACACUGCAAGAUUAAACCUCUUCAAAAUCUUCAUCUGUGUCUUCCAUUGAGUCGACCUAUCUGUGGAUACUGCCCUAAUAAGCAAACACGCGCACCUGCCACCUUGAAAACGAACAUGCUCUUUUUCACUCACCGCUUCCUCUCUGGUUCUCUUGCCUCGACCUCGGGAUGGACGUACCUCCUCUUGCUCUGGUGUGGCUUCAGGCAAGGUGUGUCCAUAAGUUGCCCCAGAAGGAGAAGCAUAACUGGGGCCUGCCUGUAGGCUAUGACAUCACUCGCCCACAUGACAUCACUCGCCCACAUGACAUCACACACUGACCUGUGGAACACCAGCUGCUGGUGGGCUCCCAAAAGAAUCCACCGAUGACAGAUACUGAGACUCGGCAGAG